UAAUGAAAAAUUAUUGAAUGUAGUAAUUUUGCUGGCUUAGAGAUAUUCAUUGCAGAUUCCUAUAAGUUAAACCAAAGAUCAGUAAAAAGCAAUCGGGGUCCAGAUCAGUGCCUCUUAUGCAUUCGGAUACUGGGGAUCACAAAACUUACAGCAACUCAAACUGUUCCAAGUACCGGAUCAGACAUAUUAUAACAUGCAAAUUCUGGACAUCUAGUAUUUCUGGAGUUGACGCUUUAGAUUACAGUUGGAAAAAACUCAACGCCUGGAUUGUUUUUCCGGUUAGUUUGGUACCAACUAUAUGAUAAAUCAUAUGUUUCUUUGUAGAGCUAUGGAUACCAUUAUACUUCCUAGGUAGACCUCUUUUCAUUGUUGGCCCUAUUGGUUGAUAACUAUAGACAAUUUAAAUCAUUUGUGGUUGUUCGUAACGAUUAUGAUAUACCUAGGUUUAUUUUUUAAAAUUCUCAUAGCAGGAUCUGAUGGUAAGAGCAUAUUUGCGCAAACUUAUUUUUUGUCCAAUGCAUUUAUGUAGAAACUGUAUUGAAGCUUAAGCUAUGUUUGGACAUAAAAUUUUGUUGUAAGCUUUACUUACUAUUAGUAAUUUUUUAAUAAAAAAAAAAUGAUUUUCUGUCAUGUUUUAUACAUGAUUCAGAUAUUACGGAACUAUUAUUCUAGGUUGCUUAGGGAAGACUCCAAGAGUAAAUCUGAGAUUGUGUAUGCUGAGAGCUUGAAAUAAUGGUUAAAAAUGUUAUUCUUAUGGGCUGAAAGGAUUGGAGUCUAGGGUGAGAGCUAUAUGAUUUGUGAGUCUAAGCGGAGAGCAACUUGAAAUAUUUACGGAUGGACUACUAGUAUGUCUUUGUUGCCCAGUCAGAUCUAUAGUUAAUCGAUUAAUCAACUUCUGAUUCCACCUUGUGAAAAUAUAACAUUUCCUAAAUUUUAUAAAUGGUGUAGUUUUUAUAUAUUUGGCAUUAUUGAAAUCAAAAUAAGGAUUUAUUCAGAAUGGGUAACUCGGUGCAUUUUGCAAGAAUUAAUUCUUCAUUUUGUCUAGUUGAGUGUUUAAAAUUAUUUUCAAGGAAGCAGCUCUUAUAAAUUGUGUUAUGAAUAAAUCAUCGUAUUUUUCCACGAGAGAUUCUUUAAGUGCAUUAUCUAAGCUUGGAGAAAAUAGUACAAAGUACUGGACGCAUUCCCUUAGAGCAGCUGGAGCUAUAGCAGCAGCAAACAUAUUGCGUAACAUUCUAGACAGGUAGCUCAAAAGAGCUCAGAAGAUAGAGUAAGUAUGCUACAUGUAAAGAUAGUUAUCUUAGGAUUUAUAUUUAUAAUAUUCUCUCUAUAUCUAUAAUAUUGGAUUUGAAUUGGUGUAAGUUAAUAUCACUUUAAUGAAUCUGUCUACAAAGUUCCACUCACCCGACGUUUGUUAUUCGAAAUGGCUAACUAUGUCUUACCCUAUAUUCUGUGUUUUGUUUUAUUUUAUAUUAGAACAGGAAAUAAUUUAUGUUCGGAUGAGCGAAGCGAAGGAGAACAUAAAUAAAUUUCUUUUCGUUUUUAAAAAGUAGAAAAAAUAUGCGUGUCCCUCGAUGGAUUUGAACCGGGGACCUUUGAUAUUGGGAGCUUUCGCUCAUUCCACUGGACCAGCAAGGCUUGCAAGUAUUGUGUAUUUAAAUUAAUUUUGAUGUUGGCAAUUUGAGUGGCACUAUUUUGUUUAUCGUAGUAAGUUGCAUGCAUUCGGUUUAGGGUAUUUAAAUCUUGGAAUCGGCUAUUGUAAUCACUCGACAAAAGUUAGCCAACGACUUACAAGUUUUUAUGAAUAUUACUUUCGACGAUUCAUUUAGAUGUAUUUUCAGAUAUUGGAAAAAGUUUUGUUGAAUAGGAAAACUCCUUCAAUCAGGAUGUUUACUGAUUUCACAUUUCAGCUGCAGUUUUGUAUUCUUCUCCAUUUAGAAUCCUUUCAAUAAUGCCGCAUUUGCUUUGAUGUAGUGUUUACAGUCAUUCUAAUAUGUUUUUAUUUUGUUAGCUCUACUAAAUUAAGUCAAUUUAUUGUACAUUAUAGUUAAUGACACUUUUGCGUUAAGUUUGUGAGAAUGAGUCCGCCAUUCAUUUUGUUUACCUCGCAAUUGCUGCGGACUUACAGGUUUCCAUAGUUUUUUCAACAAAAGGUUGUUUUUUAUCUAUGGUUUUUCCUGGGCGGCGAGAGAAGCAUAAUUGUUUCUUACGUUUUUCAUAUUUUUUUCAUUUACGAAGUCCAACCCAAUAAGACCUGGUAUGCCUAGCUAAAAUCUAAAAUAUAUUUUCAGUGAUGUGGGGACUAUAAAUAUCGUGUUAAACAUCUUCUUGUUCUGUAAUAUAUUUAAUUAUUUCUUUGAUUCAUUGUAGAAGGAAGGUAAAGAUUUGGUACUAUUGAAGACUUGUGUUCAUAAAUGUAUUCGUCUAAUAAAUGCAGCA